rnacentral:rRNA from 1 species
UCCGUAGGCGGUGUGGCAAGUCGGGAGUGAAAUCUCUGGGCUUAACUCAGAGGCUGCUUCCGAAACUGCUGUGCUUGAGUGUGGGAGAGGCGCGUGGAAUUGCAGGUGUAGCGGUGAAAUGCGUAGAUAUCUGCAGGAACACCCGUGGCGAAGGCGGCGCGCUGGACCACAACUGACGCUGAGGGACGAAAGCUAGGGGAGCAAACAGGAUUAGAUACCCUGGUAGUCCUAGCCCUAAACCAUCAGGACUUGGGGUGUCUCGAGUACUCGGGACGUCCCGGAGCUAACGCGUUAAGUCCUGCGCCGUGGGGAGUACGGUCGCAAGACUAGAA